UGAGUAAUGUCUGGGAAACUGCCUGAUGGAGGGGGAUAACUACUGGAAACGGUAGCUAAUACCGCAUAACGUCGCAAGACCAAAGAGGGGGACCUUCGGGCCUCUUGCCAUCAGAUGUGCCCAGAUGGGAUUAGCUAGUAGGUGGGGUAAUGGCUCACCUAGGCGACGAUCCCUAGCUGGUCUGAGAGGAUGACCAGCCACACUGGAACUGAGACACGGUCCAGACUCCUACGGGAGGCAGCAGUGGGGAAUAUUGCACAAUGGGCGCAAGCCUGAUGCAGCCAUGCCGCGUGUGUGAAGAAGGCCUUCGGGUUGUAAAGCACUUUCAGCGAGGAGGAAGGUGGUGAGCUUAAUACGCUCAUCAAUUGACGUUACUCGCAGAAGAAGCACCGGCUAACUCCGUGCCAGCAGCCGCGGUAAUACGGAAGGUGCAAGCGUUAAUCGGAAUUACUGGGCGUAAAGCGCACGCAGGCGGUUUGUUAAGUCAGAUGUGAAAUCCCCGGG
rnacentral:rRNA from 1 species